GCGAACGCUGGCGGCAGGCCUCACACAUGCCAGUCGAACGAACUCUUCGGAGUUAGUGGCGGACGGGUGAGUAACACGUGGGAACGUGCCUUUUGGUUCGGAAUAACUCAGGGAAACUUGUGCUAAUACCGAAUGUGCCCUUCGGGGGAAAGAUUUAUCGCCAUUAGAGCGGCCCGCGUCUGAUUAGCUAGUUGGUGAGGUAACGGCUCACCAAGGCGACGAUCAGUAGCUGGUCUGAGAGGAUGACCAGCCACACUGGGACUGAGACACGGCCCAGACUCCUACGGGAGGCAGCAGUGGGGAAUCUUGCGCAAUGGGCGAAAGCCUGACGCAGCCAUGCCGCGUGAAUGAUGAAGGUCUUAGGAUUGUAAAAUUCUUUCACCGGGGACGAUAAUGACGGUACCCGGAGAAGAAGCCCCGGCUAACUUCGUG
rnacentral:rRNA from 1 species